AGCCCUGGGCUCAGCCAGAGAAGGGCAGAGGACAGAGGACUGAGAGAGGACUGGACAACCAGCUGCAAAGAGGAGCUACCUUCUCUGUGAGAGCUUCAGAGACCUGCAGAGACAUUGAAUGAACUGCCUGCAGAGAGGAGUCACCCUCUCCAAGGUCUUCGCUCUGCUAAGAACAGCAGACAAUGGGGCAACCAGUGGGCAGAGAGGAGCUACCCUCUUCAGAGCCUCCUCUCUGCUGAGAGCUGGACACUUGAUUGGAUGAUCUGCCUACAGAGAGGAGCAACCCACUGUGGAUUUUCUCUGAGCUGUAACACUCAAUAAAGCUCUUCUUUGUCUUGUUCACCUUCCACUUGUCUGCAUAGGCAGGAUUUGGCACCACUGGCAGUGACACUGUAACAUUUUGGGGGCUCAUCUGGGAUCUCCAAAAGGUGAAGAGAACUGACAUGCUGUCCAAUAAACUUCCUUGUCCUCCUUAUGCAAGAAAGGAAAUCCUGACUUAAUGCGUAGCCACAGAACAAGUUAAAAGUGAAAUAUCUACACAAAUUAUUUGGAAUCCUUCUGUAUGAGAAAGGAGAUUUGUCUAUUUUCCCACAUUUAUUCAUUUAUUGACAUCAGUAUAGACUCAUGGAUAUUUGUUUUAUGGUUGGUUUGUAAUCCAAUGCUACAUUAUUUAUUUUGUUGUUCAAGUUGUUCCAGCUUUGGACUGGGAGCUCUUUCGAUUGGCUUCUGUUUUCUACAGCUAAAAUUAGUGAAGAGAUAAUCUUCUGUUAUUUCAUUUAACCUUCAACCCAACCUUAUAAAAAUGUCUUUUUGUUAUUCUUGUUUUACAAAUAAGGGAGCUGAGGUCGAGAGUUUAAUUUAUGCAGCUGUUGAUUGGCAAAGCCAGGAUUCGAAUAAAAACAGUCUUUAACCAGCAUGCUAUGUUACUUUCUGUCAAUGUCUUCAUUCAAAGACCACCAGGAACACACCUGUAGUUAAACAAGUUGUGUUUUUUUUGCAGUGAGGGAAAAUGCAUGUACAUCUCCCCCUUUUCUGUUUUUUGCAUCAGGUUUUGUUGAUUGAAGAGUACAAAUGUGUGCAACAACGGA
rnacentral:lncRNA from 1 species